rnacentral:rRNA from 1 species
AACGAACGCUGGCGGCAGGCCUAACACAUGCAAGUCGAGCGAGGACUUCGGUUCUAGCGGCGGACGGGUGAGUAACGCGUGGGAAUGUGCCCUUCUCUACGGAAUAGCCCUGGGAAACUGGGAGUAAUACCGUAUACGCCCUAUUGGGGAAAGAUUUAUCGGAGAAGGAUCAGCCCGCGUUGGAUUAGGUAGUUGGUGGGGUAAUGGCCUACCAAGCCGACGAUCCAUAGCUGGUUUGAGAGGAUGAUCAGCCACACUGGGACUGAGACACGGCCCAGACUCCUACAGGAAGCAGCAGUGGGGAAUCUUAGACAAUGGGGGCAACCCUGAUCUAGCCAUGCCGCGUGAGUGAUGAAGGCCUUAGGGUUGUAAAGCUCUUUCAGCUGGGAAGAUAAUGACGGUACCAGCAGAAGAAGCCCCGGCUAACUCCGUG